rnacentral:snRNA from 1 species
AUAGGUAUUGGCAAGGGAGACACCAUGAUCAUGAAAGUGGUUCUCCCAGGGUGAGGCUCAUCCAUUCCACUGCAGGUGUGCUGACCCCUGUGACUUCCCCAAAUGCGGGAAACUCGAUUGCAUAAUUUGUGGUAGUGGGGGAUUGCAUUUGCGCUUUCCCCUG